rnacentral:rRNA from 1 species
AACCUGGUUGAUCCUGCCAGUAGUCAUAUGCUUGUCUCAAAGAUUAAGCCAUGCAUGUCUGAGUACCUGCCGACCUAAGGUGAAACCGCGAAUGGCUCAUUAAAUCAGUCAUAAUUUACAGGAUGUUGCUAAAUCCUUACUCGGAUAACUGUGGUAAUUCUAGAGCUAAUACGUGCAAUUGGGCUCCGACCUCGUCGGCACGAGUUGUCGUUUCGAGGGAAGGGCGCAUUUAUUAGACCAAAAACCGGGUGGACACGCGCGCGAGGUUUUGUGGUAAGGGUUUGUGGUCUUGUUGUGAAGGCGCUUCCCCUUCUUCUUCUCCUCGCCGUCCAUGCCUCUUCGGUUAUGUGGUGACUCUGGAUAACUAUUGCCGAGCGCUGAGGUCUUCGUACCGGCGCCGUAUCUUCCGAGUGUCUGCCUUAUCAGCUCUCGAUUGUAGGUUAUUCGCCUACAAUGGCUGUAACGGGUAACGGGGAAUCAGGGUUCGAUUCCGGAGAGGGAGCCUGAGAAACGGCUACCACAUCUAAGGAAGGCAGCAGGCACGCAAAUUACCCAAUCCCGGCUCGGGGAGGUAGUGACGAGAAAUAACGAUGUGGGACUCUUCCGAGGCCUCACAAUCGGAAUGAGUUCGAUGUAAAAACGUGGGCGAGGAUCCAUUGGAGGGCAAGUCUGGUGCCAGCAGCCGCGGUAAUUCCAGCUCCAAUAGCGUAUAUUAAAGUUGCUGCGGUUAAAAUGCUCGUAGUUGGAUUUCUGAUGCGGACCGGGAACCCAUCCAAGGCUCGCCCUCGCCCGUAGCGAGUGGCGUCCCGUCGGAGUUCUUCCCGUGUCCCUCCCUGCGGCGGCCGAUGCUUGGGUAUCUUGGCGCGUCCGUCGAGGUGCUCGAGAUCAAACCUCUUCUCCGCCGAUAGUCGAGUGGCUCGGUGCGAUUGUCCCCCGUGAGAGCCUCCAUCAAAGGGGGGUUCGGUCGCUGCUGCCGUCGCAUUUCGGGGUCGCUCUCUUCCCUCUUUUUCGGUCUGCUGUCGCUGUGAAGGCUGACACCGUAGUACUUCACCUGGGCGCGUGUGCGUCGGAAGACGGGAGGCCGGUUGUCGGGUUCGCUGACGCUGAGGUACGCGCGGCUUAUACUCCUCUCCCCGUCGUCUACCCUUUUUUCGCUCGUCCUUCGCGUGGGAUAGGUGUUCGUCUCGUUCGCGUGAAGACCCAAGAUUCGCUUACGCCGUCCCAUGGACGGGUCGGCGCUUGUGUGCGACGAUUCGAACACGCGCGGAGCCUGACUUUGAAAUGAGCGAUUGAGGGCAGUAUCAAAGACGGGUGAUGGUAUUUGACGCGCCUCACGUCACGUUCCAUCUAACGCUGCCGGUCCUCUCCCGCCACACCGUCCGCAAAGAAAGAAUAAGUUGCGGUUCAGUAGCUUCAGCAGCCGUUGAUUAGGAGUUUGCGUAUCCCCGUAUGCGCUAAAGGCGGUAGUGGUGUUUUUCCGUUCCUCCCGGGGGUUUCUAUCGAGGGCGUCGCAUUCUUCCUCUUUUUCGGUCCGGUGAAUGUUUGUUUUUCUCCGAGUUCCCUCGCGGCGUUGUUCGGUUCCCAGUUUUCGGGUAGAUCCCGCCGUUUCGGGGGGUGGUGCAGGCUCCUCGGCGGCGUCCUGGCUAUGGCGCGAGUCCGCGCGCCGGGUGGACUCUUCCCGGCUCCGUGUUUCUCAAAGCCGUCGGCUGUCACGGGGUGCUCUUCACCGAGUGUCCCGCGAGGCCGGCAAGUUCACUUUGAAUAAAUUAGAGUGCUCAAAGCAGGCAAUUAAAUGUUGAACACGCCUGUAUGGUAGCGCAUAGAAUGAUGGAACAGGACCUCGGUUCUGCCUUUUUCAGCCCGGUUUUUCGGAACCGAGGUAAUGAUUAACGGGGACAGACGGGGGCAUUAGUAUUGCGGGGCGAGGGGUGAAAUUCUUGGACCCUCGCAAGACUAACUACUGCGAAAGCAUUUGCCAAGAAUGUUUUCAUUAAUCAAGAACGAAAGUUAGAGGAUCGAAGGCGAUCAGAUACCGCCCUAGUUCUAACCGUAAACGAUGCCAACCUGCAAUCCGUCGGCGUCAUUCCCACGACUCGGCGGGAAGUACCCGGGAAACCAAAGUUUUUGGGCUCCGGGGGAAGUAUGGUUGCAAAGCUGAAACUUAAAGGAAUUGACGGAAGGGCACCACCAGGAGUGGCUGCGGCUUAAUUUGACUCAACACGGGGAACCUCACCAGGCCCGGACAUCGGAAGGAUUGACAGAUUGAGAGCUCUUUCUCGAUUCGGUGGAUGGUGGUGCAUGGCCGUUCUUAGUUGGUGAAGCGAUUUGUCUGGUUGAUUCCGAUAACGAACGAGACUCUGCCCUACUAAUUAGUCGGCGGAUCGACACCCGAGAGGAGUUUUCCGUCCGCGGGGUUUUCGGUCGAGGGUAGCCGGGUCUCCUCUUUGCGUCGUUCCCCUUCGCGGUCGGCUUUGUUCGCGCGUUCGGUGUAUCGGCGAGGCGCUCCGGCGUUGGCGGCGGCAGCGGUCUCCGGUGGUGCGAUUUCGGUCGUUCNCGUCGGUCGUCGCUGUCGUUUUGUCGGCGUCGUUUGUCGUUCUCGUCGGGCCCGGAUCGUGGCAGGGUUCGUUUCGCGUUUGGGGUCGUAAAGCGGCGUUAUUGUAGGAUGUUCUCGGUCCUCGUCCCGCUUCGCGCGGCGGAGCUCAGCGAGGGACGUCCGUCGGUAUAUCUUCUUAGAGGGAUCGGCAGUGUCUAGCUGCAAGAGAAAGAGCAAUAACAGGUCUGUGAUGCCCUUAGAUGUCUUGGGCAGCACGCGCGCUACAAUGUAGGGAUCAACGUGCUUUCCCCUCCGAAAGGAGCGGGUAACCCGUUGAAACCCCUACUCGAUUGGGAUUGGGGAUUGCAAGUGUUUCCCAUGAACGAGGAAUUCCUAGUAAGCGUGAGUCAUCAGCUUGCGCUGAUUACGUCCCUGCCCUUUGUACACACCGCCCGUCGCUACUACCGAUUGAAUGAUUAAGUGAGGGCAUCGGACUGGCGCCUCCGGUAGCCGUCGAUCGUAUCAAACUUUGCUCCUUGUUAAAGGAGUGGGGGCGGUCUCCGGCACCCUAGGCUUGACGGAAAGAUGUCCGAACUUGAUUAUUUAGAGGAAGUAAAAGUCGUAACAAGGUUUCCGUAGGUGAACCUGCGGAAGGAUCA